CCUACGGGAGGCUGCAGUGGGGAAUAUUGGACAAUGGGGGCAACCCUGAUCCAGCCAUGCCGCGUGUGUGAAGAAGGCCCUCGGGUUGUAAAGCACUUUCAGUGAGGAAGAACGCCUGGUGGUUAAUACCCAUCAGGAAAGACAUCACUCACAGAAGAAGCACCGGCUAACUCCGUGCCAGCAGCCGCGGUAAUACGGAGGGUGCGAGCGUUAAUCGGAAUUACUGGGCGUAAAGCGCGCGUAGGUGGCUUGAUAAGCCGGUUGUGAAAGCCCCGGGCUCAACCUGGGAACGGCAUCCGGAACUGUCAGGCUAGAGUGCAGAAGAGGAUGGUAGAAUUCCCGGUGUAGCGGUGAAAUGCGUAGAGAUCGGGAGGAAUACCAGUGGCGAAGGCGGCCUUCUGGGCUGACACUGACGCUGAGGUGCGAAAGCGUGGGUAGCAAACAGGAUUAGAUACCCGGGUAGUC
rnacentral:rRNA from 1 species